ensembl:scaRNA
UUGUCCUGGCCUGUGCCUUUUCUGUUCCCAUUUGCUCUAAUGAGGUACUCUGUCAGGACACAUAGCAAUUUAUCUCUCAGUGUAGGAUAAUUAUCCUAAGAAUAGGACUGGCUUUUAAAGGCACAAGAGGACAAU